rnacentral:rRNA from 1 species
UACGGGGGGGGCAAGCGUUGUUCGGAAUUACUGGGCGUAAAGGGCUCGUAGGCGGCCAACUAAGUCAGACGUGAAAUCCCUCGGCUUAACCGGGGAACUGCGUCUGAUACUGGAUGGCUUGAGUGUGGGAGAGGGAUGCGGAAUUCCAGGUGUAGCGGUGAAAUGCGUAGAUAUCUGGAGGAACACCGGUGGCGAAGGCAGUUCUCUGGGCCGUAACUGACGCUGAGGAGCGAAAGCGUGGGGAGCGAACAGG